UACAGAGGAUGCAAGCGUUAUCCGGAAUGAUUGGGCGUAAAGCGUCUGUAGGUGGCUUUUUAAGUCCGCCGUCAAAUCCCAGGGCUCAACUCUGGACAGGCGGUGGAAACUACCAAGCUGGAGUACGGUAGGGGCAGAGGGAAUUUCCGGUGGAGCGGUGAAAUGCGUAGAUAUCGGAAGGAACACCAGUGGCGAAGGCGGUUCUCUGGGCAUUACCUGACGCUGAGGAGCGAAAGUGUGGGGAGCGAACAGG
rnacentral:rRNA from 1 species